CAAAGGGUGUAAGUAUACACGCAAGUGCAUACGCAACAUAUCAAAUGUACUUCUGUAAAUCAGUUUAGCACCAAUCUAAGACGGACCAAACUAAGCAGCAGGAUUUAGGUAAACAUUACGGAUUUUCCUGAUAGCAGCUGUGGUGGAACUGCAGGUCUUUAGAGAGCAUGUUCAGGUUUAAUUCGCACCCAGUGCAUGCUCGACGCGCUCGCGCUGCCAUCUUGUCCUCUCGCUGGACGACGAGGAAGGGAAAAAACACAAGCUACCUCAUUUUCAAGUGCGCAUAACUCGCCUACUUAGCCAUCCACGGGAACCGAACAAGGCCCAGCGUAGGAUUAAGGAUGUCCUCUUUUGUCAGGGAAGGUUUUUGUCGUCAUUUCGAGGAGGUUUAUGCCUCCUUAGUUUGUUUCUUCCUGACGACGACGGACAAACUCUGCAGCUGUAACUCACUCGAGCUCGCUCAGCUGAGCGCUCGAGAAUGCGCUUGUUCUUCUUCUUCUUCCUGUGAGUUUCAGUGGGAUCUGACAGUUGUGAGGUGGACGUCUAUUCCACCAGCAGGGCUGGAGAGACACAGCGCAGAAAGAUGAAUGCCCACGGAAGAACGGAACAGUUUUGCUGUGCAGUGUCCCCGUCUGGAUCUUUUGGUAGAAAGGAGAAUACACUAGUUUGUUGAAAGUCACCAAACGUCCCAGCUUAACAGCAAUCUCCUCCAACUCUUUGCUGAUGGGUGCCAGACCCCCAGGGAGGGCUGGGGCACUCUUGUGAAAGCUUGACUCCAGGAACCCCAGAAGAAAACGGGGAAAAGCCAUGCUGAGACAAGCAUCCUUUGAGCUCCAAACACAACUUCUCUCCAAUGGCAGCAAAGUCUCUCCAUGAGGCCCGGAAGUCCAGAAAUGGCCUCUCCAGCACUGUUAUACACUAUGAGCAAGACUGUUGCCACCAAUGCCAGCUGUUCCAGUUCCUGCUGCAUCUCCUGAAACCUGGACUGGUCCAUGAGAAAAGUCUAUGGGAUCAAAAAAGGCAUACAAAUGAGGAAAAGUUCAAUGGAGCUGGACAAGGACACUGGAACAGACCUUUUCUCUUUGAUGGAAAAUAAAGGUGCUCUUGGUCAACCAAAGACCCCAAACAUUGCUCUGGAGAAUGACGGCCGUACUAUCUCAUUGCAAGUCCUGGAAUUUAAAACAAGUCUUCUGGAGGCGGUUGAGGAGUUACAUAUUCACAGGGAUGCUGAAACUCGAUAUGAGGAGCAGAUUUGUAAACUUGUCCUGGAGAAGCAAGAGUUGGAAUGGCAAAAGGAGUCCUUACAAAAUCAGAUUUUUAGAAUGUCGAACAAGAGUUCAGAGUCACUCACUGCUGCAAAGAAACAGGUGUGACAUCACACUCGACCAGUAUUCGCUAAAUAUAUUUCUACACCAGACGGGGAAAAACCAGUUGGCUGCUGAACUGAAAGACAAAGAGAUCACCAGCCUCAAGGAAGAAUUAAAACUACUGCAGUUUAUCAGGUACAGUUUGGAGAAGAAAUUAAGCGAGUUGGUAAGGAUUUCCAAUUAUAUAAAUUGUUGACAGAGGCGAGUGGGAGUGGGAAGAAGUAAAGAGGAGGAACUGAGAGGGACAGCGGAUCAUCAGGAGUAACGGAUAUGGAGGGUGUGACACGUGAACCACCAGCGCCACUGUGAAAAUACCACUAUUAAAAUAUUUUAUAUCAGAGCCUCGCUCUGUUUAACCUUUCAAUGGUGGAGAGGCGAAUCAGUUUGAUACAGAUAAUCAAACAGUAACGGGGCUGCGGUUCACAUAAAAGGCCCUCAGGCAUGUUUGGAAGUUGACUCCUUAUCUAGAAGAAAAGAACAUUCGGCUGAAAUGUUAAACAAAGGUCUUUAAACUCUCAGAGAGAUGAUGCAGUAUAUAUUCAUAGAUUACCCUUGCAGAGAAGAAGAACUGUUAUUACAGUUGUUGCACUUGAAUGGGGAUAUUCCUCUUAGAAGGGAGGACAGUGUGCAUUUUUUAAACUUUUCAGGAGCAAAAGUUGUAGCUGCAGACACAAAUGAAAGACAGCCAGAGAGGCGUUUCGGCACCAUCUCACGACAAUGUGCCAUGGUCAAGCAGGCCCAUGAGAAACUAUAGCAAAAUAGUAUGGCCACUAUUCCUUCUAUAGAACUCAUAAACACUGCCACAAUAAAUAACGCUUCUCUGGUAUUCACUUAGACCAGAUAUUACGGUCCUAACAAAUUAGGUCUGGAUCUUUUGGAUUUGGAUGAGACUGACACUUCUAUUAAAGGCAGACACUAGUAUUUAACCAUUAAAGUCAGUGGUAUAAACAUGAUUAUCUCUUGCCUUCAAACGCUAUUUAUGUAAAGCACUGAUAGAGAGAGUUGCUGCUAAUUUAAAGGACCUGCAAAGCAUUGGGCUGAUAGUUAGUCUGGUAUGCAUAAUCUGUCUUUAUUCACUCUGGACAAAUUUGAUGUUAAAAACUCCCCCUUGGUUUGCAUCUGACAGUGCUGUAUGAAUUGAUUUGCUAUUAUGUGAACAUUAAUUAUUUGUCCUUUGUUUAUGAUUGUUAUAUGAGAAUGUAGAGAAUGCUGCUAUGUAGCAAUGCCAAGCUUUUUUAUUCUCUUUUGACUCUCAAUAUAUUUCUCCAUUAUACCUUUUAUUUAUUUGUAUUUUUAAACUGAAGAGGCCAUGUGGAUUAAUAAAAAACUCACAUCCAUCAAUGAAAAAAAGGAUCUACGAUUAAAACCUUAAAAGAGGAUUUGGAGAGACUUAACAAAGAGUUAGUCACGUUCAAAAUGUCAUCGGUCUGCAAACCUGGAGAGGAGCAUUUACAAAACAGCUUCAGCUACUGCAGCAGAGACUUCUUGUGGAAACAGAGCUUAACAAGAAACUGAGAAACGAAACUGCCACAGAGAGGGCUGAGAAGCAGAAGGUAUUGAGAUCCCUCCACCACACUCAGCAUUUGCUGCAGACACAAACAGAAGCUCUUAGCUGAACAGAGCAGGAGGUCUGCACACUCAGAGCGGAAUAUCAGAUGCUGCUACAACAGGAGACAAUUGAGGCGGAUCAGGUAGAGCUCAUAAAGCCAAAGACAUUCAUAACUCUGAGAUGAAAGCACUACUGAGUGUCAGAGGGCCAUAAAAGAUGGCUGUUCUUAUGAUGAAAACAAGGAACUUAACAUUCCAAUGCAGGCAGAUGGAGUAGUACCUGUACAAUCACCACUGGAAGGACCAGAUAUUUUGGAUUCAAAUGUGUCUGUUUAACUUUUACAGUCAUGAUGAAGACUCCUGACAGGUGGGACACUCCCAGCAAGCGUCACCACCAAAAGAUCGAUUGCAGAGGAGAGUGGAAUGCAAUCAUGCAGUCUAUUUCUGAAAUUUUAGCAGAGAAAGAGAAUCAAGUUCUUAUCUCCUUCAGCUCGACUCUGAGUGAUAGCCCAGCCUCUUCUUCUGUGGGUAAUGGGCUGUGAAAAGACUGCACUCCUACUGUUACUCCUCCCAAACUCCAGAGCGUGGAGAAAGGGACCCGAUAUGUGGCCAAAAGGGGUACACCUAUUUCUGAAGGAAAAGAGGAACGGAAGCCAUCUGACAUAAUGACCCAAAUUGCAAAAAUCUAAGAAUUUAUGUCAUCAGAGGGUUUAACACAUCGAAAGAGAUGCAAAAUAGACUGAAAUGCUUAAUUUUUUAAAUAAUUUCCAGUGGCAUACAUUCUGUGCCAUAGCCAUAUUGGUACUCAGUUUGAAAUGUGUUAGUAUGUGUUUGUUAAGAUAUAUUUAAUUUCUGACACUCCGUACAAAUAGAUACACUAUAUAAACUAUAUUUGUGUUAAUUGUUAAUAUAUUUUCAGAUUAGAUAAUUGAGUACAUUUUUAUUAUUUCAAGCAACAUUUUCUUAAAAAACAUUAAAUGUUUGCAUCUGUUGAUGCAUGUAUAGUGUUAGCCUAUUGCUGAAAAGGGAAAGUGCUACACAUAAAACCUGUUAAUUACAUUGUACAAGCUAAUUAACACUCAUUACUCCCAGGCUUGCCUGCCCAUUCCUCAGAGGGCAUUUAAUGGCCAAACAUUUCUAAUUUACAUUUGGAACACAAACUGUGGCCAACUAUAACUUGAGAUAAUUAGAAUGCACAAGUAAGAAGAAUCAAUUAGCUCAUAUUAAGCCAAAUUAACAAAUGCAAUGAGUCUCCCAUUAAGUUUAUGUCCUCAGUAAAUAGGCUAUAGGGACCAUGUGGACACAUGUUAGGGCGAUACAGAUGAAAAAUUAAAUGUGUUGCAUAUGGUGACACUAGUCACAGAGUGGAUACUUGGGCUUGAGAUUCACAUUGAUAGUUUUUUUUAAGCAGUUAAUUCAUAGCUUUCGUAAAAUUUGCCUGAGAUUCAUAAAGAAGUACAAUUAAACUUGGACUUUUUUAAAUUCGAUUUUUUCCCUGCAUCUUAUAAACAAAGCACAUGCAUUAAACUGCUAUAUGCUAUAAUGCUACCUGAAGGGAUAGUUCACCAAAAAUAACAACUAUGUCAUCAUUCACUUACUCUCAUGUUGUUCCAAAUAUGUAUUUCUUCCGUAGAACACAAAAAACAAUAGGAAGAAUGUUAGCCUCAGUCACAGUUCACUUUUGCAUCUUUUGUCCAUACGUUAAAAGUGAAUGGUGACUGAGGCUAUCAUUCUACCAACAUCUCCUUUGGAAGAAUGGGGUGAUAUUAGAUUUUAUUAUAUUUUUGAUUGAACUAUCCCUUUAACUGAACAUAGCCCAUGCAGUGAUGAUAUUAAGCUGUAUUUUUUAUAAGCUAUAUUUUUAGUGAAAUUAACCAGCUGAGUUUUCUAUCUCAAAUUAAACGCUUUAAAGAGCCUCACAAAAACAUUUUGCCUCAAGAGUACUAAAAUCACCCAGCAGAAAGGAAAUGCGCACCUCUUGAUUAUAGCACAAGGUCCCUCAGAGGUUCACCUUAAUACACUUACUCAUUAUUAAUAUGUCAAAAUGUUAAUGUCCUCGUAAAAAAAAUCUUAUGCAUUCCAGCCACUGUGCCAGCUGUACUGACCCUUAUCCUUUGAGGGAGUGGGCAAUAUGGAGAGCGUAAUUUUAAUACACACUCUGGAUUAUGAAGUGGCAAUCCUUUGAAACAGUCAAUUACACUUGAGUGCGGGAGGACCCAAGUGUUAAUUACUAGUCGGUUUUAUAUAGUGUGUAAAUACAGAGCCUGCUGACAUUCACAUUCCAUCACUGUGUCCUGACUGCCACAGCAAAUUAGCCUGACCCAUCUGGGUGUACACUGCUAGGCCCCAAUGUGUUCAUUUAACUUUAGAAUAACAUUCACCACAAACAAGGAUAAGGGUACAGGAUGUGGGAGCCCAACUCUGUAUAUGGGGGUUGUAGUUGCUACGAAUAGGUCUUUGGGCUUAAUUUAUCUACCCUUUUAUAAAAAGGAUUUAGAAGACGGAAAUACACAGCCAUGCAAAGACAAACACUGUAACUACAUAUUAAGUCAAAAGUGACUUGUGACCAAAAUCUUGUCUCUUAUGAUCUGACAGAUGGGUUUGGCUCAGCUAUACUCAGAUUCAGAGAAAACUGAAUGCCCUGUUUAAAGACCUCUUAUAAGACCUUUUAUAAAAUUUAUAAGCUACACAAUUCUGCCUUUAAACUGUCCAAAAGUUGGCCCCAUUUACUUCCAUUGUAAGUGCCUCACUGUAACCUCGAUUUUUGCUUUUUUCAAAGAAAAAGAGGGACGAAUUGAAUUAUGUUGAUUGAGCUUAACUUGUUUUGAACCCAGAAUAUUCCUUUAAGCGCAGUGAUGGACUACACAAUUCGUGCAAAAUCAGUGAUUGCACCUGCUCGUGGGAUCCCCAAACUGCAAAUGCAAGGACUUAGUUUGGACUUUGCGUUGAGAAUAGAUGUGGUGCUCAGACAUCUUGCGCCUCUUCAUUUACAUGGACCUUCCAUAUUUCUUUGUAAAUACACCCACAGUUUCCUGGCAUAAAACCAGUGCAAACACUUACACCCAUGGCCAGUUGCCUGUUGCCCAGGUGCAAAUAUUGCACUUAUAGUAUAUGUAGUGCUCUCGUGAAAAUUGGAUAAGACGUAGCGCACAGUCGUAUCACAUAGCCCUGUGCCUAACGUGAGUAAAUUUUUCUCAGGUUUAGUGUUGGCAUAGUUACUGUUUUGCCUUUGUAGGUAAUUACAGCCUUGGGUGACUGAGGUGUGCCCCAAACCAGGCACGUGGAUGUAUAACUGUUUACCUCUUUUUGUAAGCCCACAACCCACCGACCCCUCCCCCCUUUCUUUCUUUCUUUUUUUAACAGUGCACUCCUGCUCUCCCUCUAGUCGUGAAUCACCUCCGCUUUGGCCUUCUCAUCUUACCUCUCAUUGAGGGACGAGAAGAUAAUCCCUGCCUGCCCACUACUGUUAAGGGUCAACACAGUUUAAAGUUCACCAUCCACAUCAUUUAUAUGGACUUAAAUUAGCCCAAAUGCAAUGUUCUGACUGUUCAUCUCUCUUUCAAGCAGUUGUUAAUCUUAUUGUUGUACUACGUUCUCUGUACAAAUCCACUGAGAAAUAGGAAAGUUAAGGUAAUGCUCAGCGGAUGGCUGUUUUGAUUGAAUUAUACCCCUCAAGGACCACCAUGGCGGCCCCAUACGUUUUUAAUUCUGAAGAGGCAAGAAGUGAUCACAUGGGUACACAGUACUCCCCAUACGUGGAGUACGUCAUCCCCGCCUAUAUAUCUCUUCAGCCAGCAAUGUACACAUCUUAAAGGAUGAGCUGUUUCGGGUGGGCGGGGGGUGAUUUGGAGCCCUAUCUUAACCCUCAUGCCGUUCUGCAUUAGCUGUGUCCCUAUUGAGGUGUCAGCCCAUAAGUCUUACUCAGUGGGAUGUCUCAGGCAGAUGAUGGAGAGCACUUCUUCACUCCAGGGGGAUCUUGUAAAACUUGCAUGCCCCAGUCUCUACUCCCAGUCUGACCUCCUCCUCGACAUGGUCUCUCUUCAUGCUAAAUCAGAACUUGUGAAUGACACGCUAGAUCCAUUAAGCAACAAAUGUAUUUGGUUACUACUUUUAAAGGGUCAGGAUAUUGCAGGUGUCUUCUUGGUUGAAGUACUACUGUCAAACUCAUAAAAGUUUUGUGGUUGUAAUGUUUAUCAAUGUAAACUUCCCAAUCAAGUUAGGUGUUGGAAUAAAUACUAAAAAUAAAGAUUUAAUGUGUCUUUAUAGUAACAGUUGGUAAAAGGUUACAAAGUAGUCGUAGUCUUUCCCGACAUUGCUUAUCAAUUUCCUACUGAUCCUGAACAUUAUAUUUCACUGCUACACUAUGUGUAGAAAUGGCAUAACCUACUGCCAUUUAUUCAUUAGUUUAAUUGAUCAUUCCUGAAAUACAUUAUGCAAACAUUUUUUUUUUAUUUUCUUUUUUUAUCA